GCGGCCAUCGUCCAAGAGCAGGACGCCUGAACGCCAUUCAGGGGAUGCCGGUGCAAUUCCGGCUGGCCGCU
rnacentral:tRNA from 1 species